ACAGAGGUCUCAAGCGUUGUUCGGAUUCAUUGGGCGUAAAGGGUGCGUAGGCGGCGGGGUAAGUCGGAUGUGAAAUCUCAGGGCUCAACCCUGAAACUGCAUUCGAUACUGCCUUGCUCGAGGACUGGAGAGGAGAUUGGAAUUCACGGUGUAGCAGUGAAAUGCGUAGAUAUCGUGAGGAAGACCAGUGGCGAAGGCGGAUCUCUGGACAGUUCCUGACGCUGAGGCACGAAGGCCAGGGGAGCAAACGGGA
rnacentral:rRNA from 1 species